UGCCUUUGAUGACUUGCCAUGCUAAUACUGAACCCCAGUUGGCCAAUGGCUCCUCUGGAGUUUUGUGAAUGGAUUCCUUCUUGGACUGAGGCAC